rnacentral:rRNA from 1 species
UGGGCGUAAAGCGAGCGCAGGCGGUUAGAUAAGUCUGAAGUUAAAGGCUGUGGCUUAACCAUAGUACGCUUUGGAAACUGUUUAACUUGAGUGCAAGAGGGGAGAGUGGAAUUCCAUGUGUAGCGGUGAAAUGCGUAGAUAUAUGGAGGAACACCGGUGGCGAAAGCGGCUCUCUGGCUUGUAACUGACGCUGAGGCUCGAAAGCGUGGGGAGCAAACAGGAUUAGAUACCCUGGUAGUCCACGCCGUAAACGAUGAGUGCUAGGUGUUAGACCCUUUCCGGGGUUUAGUGCCGCAGCUAACGCAUUAAGCACUCCGCCUGGGGAGUACGACCGCAAGGUUGAAACUCAAAGGAAUUGACGGGGGCCCGCACAAGCGGUGGAGCAUGUGGUUUAAUUCGAAGUAACGCGAAGAACCUUACCAGGUCUUGACAUCCCUCUGACCGCUCUAGAGAUAGGGCUUUCCUUCGGGACAGAGGUGACAGGUGGUGCAUGGUUGUCGUCAGCUCGUGUCGUGAGAAG